rnacentral:rRNA from 1 species
AAAGUUCCCUUCGGGGAGCGAGUAGAGUGGCGCACGGGUGAGUAACACGUAGGUAAUCUACCUUUGGACGGGGAAUAACAACCGGAAACGGUUGCUAAUACCGCAUAAUGCAGCGGCACCUAAUGGUGACAGUUGUUAAAGCGGGGGAUCGAAAGACCUCGCGUCUAAAGAGGAGCCUGCGGCGGAUUAGCUAGUUGGUAAGGUAAUGGCUUACCAAGGCGAUGAUCCGUAACCGGCCUGAGAGGGCGGUCGGUCACACUGACACUGACAUACGGGUCAGACUCCUACGGGAGGCAGCAGUCGGGAAUUUUGGGCAAUGGGCGAAAGCCUGACCCAGCAACGCCGCGUGAAGGAUGAAAUCCCUCGGGAUGUAAACUUCGCAAGAACGGGAAGAAUAAGUUGGUGUGAAUAUCACCAGCGAUGACGGUACCGUUUGUAAGCUCCGGCUAACUCCGUGCCAGCAGCCGCGGUAAUACGGGGGGAGCAAGCGUUGUUCGGAUUUACUGGGCGUAAAGGGCGCGUAGGCGGCCACUGCAAGUCGGUUGUGAAAUCUCCGGGCUUAACCCGGAAAGGUCAAUCGAUACUGCAGGGCUAGAGUGCAGAAGGGGCAACUGGAAUUCUCGGUGUAGCGGUGAAAUGCGUAGAUAUCGAGAGGAACACCUGCGGCGAAGGCGGGUUGCUGGGCUGACACUGACGCUGAAGCGCGAAAGCUAGGGGAGCGAACGGGAUUAGAUACCCCGGUAGUCCUAGCCUUAAACGAUGAAUGCUUGGUGUCUGGGGUUUUAUAGUCCCCGGGUGCCGUCGCUAACGCUUUAAGCAUUCCGCCUGGGGAGUACGGUCGCAAGACUG